rnacentral:sRNA from 1 species
GGAGGUUGUGACUAGUGACAGUGAGGAAGGGUGUGACUAGUGACAGAGUGAGGGAGGGUGUGACUAGUGACAGAGAGAGGGAGGAGGUGACUAGUGACAGAGAGAGGGAGGGGGUGACUAGUGGCAGAGUGAGGGAGGGAAGGGGUGACUAGUGACAGUCACCACCUCCUUCACUCUGUCACUGUGUCACCCCCUUCCUCACUCUGUCACUAGUCACCCACUCCCUCCCUCACUUUGUCACUAGUCACAUCCUCUCUCACUCUGUCACCAGUCAUUCCCUCACUCUGUCACCAGUCAUCCCUUCCUUUCCUCACUCUGCCACUAGUCAUCCCUUCCCUCACU